rnacentral:rRNA from 1 species
CCAGCUCCAAUAGCGUAUAUUAAAGUUGUUGCAGUUAAAAAGCUCGUAGUUGGAUUUCUGAUACGAUGCGCCCGACCCGUGCCGCAAGGUUACGAGUGUUGGAUGCGCGUCUAUCAUCCUUCUCGACGGAGGGUCGGCAGCAAUGUCGAUCGCCGCUUGAGAUCUUUUACUUUGAAAAAAUUAGAGUGUUUAAAGCAGGCUUAUGCCUUGAAUACAUUAGCAUGGAAUAAUAAUAUAGGACUUGAUUCUUAUUUUGUUGGUUUCUAAGAAUAAAGUAAUGAUUGAUAGGGAUAGUUGGGGGUGCUAGUAUUCAGCGGCCAGAGGUGAAAUUCUUUGAUUCGCUGAAGACUAACUUAUGCGAAAGCAUUCACCAAGGAUGUCUUCU